rnacentral:rRNA from 1 species
CAUCGGAACGUGUCCCGUAGUGGGGGAUAACGCCGCGAAAGCGGCGCUAAUACCGCAUAUGCUCUACGGAGGAAAGCAGGGGAUCCGAGGGUAACCGAGGACCUUGCGUUAUGGGAGCGGCCGAUGUCCGAUUAGCUAGUUGGUGGGGUAAAGGCCUACCAAGGCGACGAUCGGUAGCUGGUCUGAGAGGAUGAUCAGCCACACUGGGACUGAGACACGGCCCAG